rnacentral:lncRNA from 1 species
CUCAGUCACAUACAAGCCCAUGAGGCAUCAAUAUUUAUUUCAACAGUCCGUUCAUCACAUAUAUCCGUUCUUCUGUGUACUCUUGGGCCGGUAGGCAGUCGUACAUUUUUUACUGAGAAGCUGCAAAAAGAACAUGAACAGAUAACAACACGCAUGGGGGUUCCGUUUGUAGUUGUGGCUGAAUCUUUUAGAGACAGGGCAUUUUGUUACAACUAAGGUACCACCAGCAGCAGGUUAAGAUCCAAAACGAACACAGCACGACAAAUUCGACCAGGCUUGUACCAAACUGCAAAGACGAACUACAACGAAUGUUUG